AAACAACAAAACCUUUUUUUCCUCCAAAACAUUUAUUAGCUACACAGCCCAACAGCUUUAGCUAUGCGUACACCAAGAAGAGACGGUUAUUUGGUCGGUGGGGAGAUCUGUAGUUCAAAGAGGAAAAACACAAAACCACCCUUCAUGGUAUACAAAAUACAAACCAGCACCUACUAGUUGUGCAUUCUCAAGUCGUAAACCUUUCCCAUAAAAAACUAUAAUAAAGUGCUAUCAUUGAGCAAUAGCUAGUCCUACCCCUACUAUGUACUGUACAUUGUUACUCAAUGUUUGAAAAUAUGCUUUAGAGUUAAUAGCAGCUAAUGCUAUAUGUGUACAUUGAUAACUAUACACCAUUUUACAUCACGUGUAGACUGACCAGUGCCGACAAAGUUCCUAACUAUUUCAAGUCUAAUGUGCAGAAAGUUGUCUGGAAUUUGUAGCCUGGAAUUUGAAGACCUACCGGUACAGUGUGAAGAACAAUUCAACUGACUUGAGUAGACAUGUACUAUCUAACAUUGCAAGUUGAGUAUCUUGAUAGAAAUACUACUACAUUGCUUAAGCUGCUCGGAAUACUAAAUGUAGAUAUUGUGUGGAACAUUGUUUUUUCAGUUCAACAAGUUUGCGUAGAAAACACCCAGUAGCUUUUAACUAACAGAAAGAGCAUAAUGCAUAUGAAGGCACUUAAAACAGAAGAGAUGGUAAUACAUUUUGUAAUAAGACUUUAAGCAGCAUAUAUAUGACCAGUUUGCUUUUUACCUGCUAGUCUAGAUGUACAUUUCAAACUUCGCUCACAAGUUAAAAUGGCAUGACAAUAUCACAUCCCAAAAUUAACAGCUAAACUAUCAGAACACAAAGAAAGCAAGAAUAGCUGCAAGAACAGAAUAGAAUACAAUUGGAAUUUGAAACAUAUAUCAUAACUGGCAUAUGAUUGUAACAGGAAAUUUCACCUUAGAAGACUGUCAAUAUCAGUUUUGUAACCUUUCUCCUAAAACUUAUGCAUCAUAUAGCGGUCUCUGAAUAAAAAAGGAAUGCUUUUCAGUGAAGAUAUUUGAAUAUAAAGAAACUAUAGUUCGUUCAUUUUGUCAAGAAAGUAGCGACAGUUGUUGUUGCCUUUGGUGAUAGCAUACUGAGAAUAUUGUAACCCUGUAACAUACUCAAGAUUGGCCAUGUUGAUUUGAUUAUAUGGAUGACAUCCACGUAUGCAUCAAUAUUUUCAGCCGUUGCCAAAAAUAUAUUCUACCAUACUAUAAACUGUAAAAAGCUGAUGCAAAAUUAGCAAACAUAUGCAUACACAUGUAAUUGGCAUACAAAGAGUAGAGUGUGAUUAUGAACUUAAUGUAAAUAUACCCGUUAAAAUAUACCCUAAUGUCAAAUACACGUUACAAAUACUUAUUCUAUUAGACAAUAACUGAUUUCCGUAGCAGUGCUAUAUGCUGUAUAAAAGGCAACGUGCAUAUGUGUACAUGUGCAAGGAUUAUGUGGUAAUAAAUAACCUAUGUUGGUAACGAAUACGAUGCUACCUUCUGUUUAGUGAAGUGGGCAUAGGAAAAAGACAUCAUUCUACCUGGAUUUUGUUGGUAACGAAUACGAUGCUACUUUCUGUUUAGUGUAGAGGAUGUAGAGAAAAGACAUUAUGUGGCCUGUAGUUUGGGUGACAAACAAUCUUGUGCAGGUCAUAGAUAUCUAUAAGUUGCUUGUAGAGAAUAAGGGGAUGUCCAAUCUAUGCAAUAAGAAUUUAGGAACUCCCCACUUUGUUAAGAAUCUAUCCAGAGUAUCAUCUAGUUGUUGUGUGGACUAUAAACUGAAAAAUGUCUUUGUCCACAAAGUAACAAUGAAUUACAUUGGUCUUCUUUU